rnacentral:rRNA from 1 species
UCCCUUUAUGACCUUGGGCUACACACGUGCUACAAUGGCAGAUACAGAGGGCAGCGAAAGAGUGAUCUGAAGCGAAACUCACAAAAUCUGUCCCAGUUCGGAUUGUACUCUGUAACUCGAGUACAUGAAGUUGGAGUUGCUAGUAAUCGCGAAUCAGGAUGUCGCGGUGAAUGCGUUCCCGGGUCUUGUACACACCGCCCGUCACACCAUGGAAGUUGGCAAUACCCGAAGCCUGUGAGCGAACCUUUUAGGACGCAGCAGUCGAAGGUAGGGUCAGUAACUGGGGUGAAGUCGUAACAAGGUAGCCGUAUCGGAA